rnacentral:rRNA from 1 species
GACGAACGCUGGCGGCGUGCUUAACACAUGCAAGUCGAACGGAAAGGCCCUGCUUUUGUGGGGUGCUCGAGUGGCGAACGGGUGAGUAACACGUGAGUAACCUGCCCUUGACUUUGGGAUAACUUCAGGAAACUGGGGCUAAUACCGGAUAGGAGCUCCUGCUGCAUGGUGGGGGUUGGAAAGUUUCGGCGGUUGGGGAUGGGCUCGCGGCUUAUCAGCUUGUUGGUGGGGUAGUGGCUUACCAAGGCUUUGACGGGUAGCCGGCCUGAGAGGGUGACCGGCCACCUUGGGACUGAGAUACGGACCAGAAUCCUACGGGAGGCAGCAGCGGGGAAUAUUGCACAAUGGGGGGAAGCCUGAUGCAGCAACGCCGCGUGCGGGAUGACGGCCUUCGAGUUGUAAACCGCUUUCGACUGUGACGAAGCGUGAGUGACGGUAAUGGGUCAAGAAGCAACGGCUAACUACGUG